ACAUGUUUUGGGACUACAACUCCCAUCAUCCCUAGCUAGCAGAGCCAGUGGUCAGGGAUGAUGGGAAUUGUAGUCCCAAAACAUCU